rnacentral:rRNA from 1 species
CUACGGAGGGGGCUAGCGUUGUUCGGAUUUACUGGGCGUAAAGCGCACGUAGGCGGAUUGAUUAGUUAGGGGUGAAAUCCCGAGGCUCAACCUCGGAACUGCCUUUAAUACUGUCAAUCUCGAGACCGGAAGAGGUGAGUGGAACUCCUAGUGUAGAGGUGGAAUUCGUAGAUAUUAGGAAGAACACCAGUGGCGAAGGCGGCUCACUGGUCCGGUACUGACGCUGAGGUGCGAAAGCGUGGGGAGCGAACAGGAUUAGAUACCCUAGUAGUCC